UUACUAGCCUUCUUUUGGUUGUCAGUGGCUGCAGCAAUCCAUAUACGCCGCUCCGCCCACCUUCGCAGCUCUCCCUUCACCAUACACUCCGGCCGCCCUCUUUCCUCUCCGACGCCAUCUCACAGUUCCCGCCUCCUCGCUUCGCUGGGCCCUCCGCUCCCGUCGGCCCAGGCCCCUUUCCAAUCCAACCACUUCUUUUCCGCUAGUUCAGCUGGGGAGCAUUCCCAGCUCUGGGGAACCGGCCAGUCGACGACGGCAAGGAGCGAGCACGAUGGUUGCACCAGCUCAGGGCUUAAUGAUGCUGCUGAGGAUGUUUUGAGUGGCGUCGCUGAUGACUGACCAAUUCUUCCGGUGGGUGGUGAUUGCAUCCUCCACCUUGGCGAUGAGGAUUGCUCUGCUCCCUGUGCUUGUCAUUCAACUAAGAAAACUGAAGAGAAUCGCCGAGUUAAUGACAAAAUUUCCCCCGCCUCUGCCGCUGCCUUUCUCGGGAAGGAGUUACUUGGACCACAUUAUUCUUUGCCUGAGGGAGUGACGAGCUUCCAGGUGCCCCUUGUUGCUGUGGAUGCUUUCAUCCUUUUCUGUAUGGGUAAUUUCCUAGUGUCUACCAUGCUAAUGAACGAUGAGUUUGAUUUCUGUGUGUUAUGUGGACUAUCCUCCUUUAGUUUACGCUUGCAUCUGUCGCACGUGAUGAGCAGAGGCGCGAUCUUGACCCUAUGCAAUUGUCCAACUUUAACUACUAUCAAUUGUCAAAGAUUGCUUUCGGUUUUAGAUUUGUUGGAGCAUAAACACUUUGAUCAGUGAAAUACUGUGGACUCCUCAAGGCCAGUCCUUUGGAAUUGGAGAAUUGUUUUCCUUGUUUUA